rnacentral:rRNA from 1 species
CUGCUGCCUUCCGUAGGAGCUUGGUCCGUGUCUCAGUACCAAUGUGGGGGGUUAACCUCUCAGUCCCCCUAUGUAUCGUUGUCUUGGUGAGCCGUUACCCCACCAACUAACUAAUACAACGCAUGCCCAUCCAUUACCACCGGAGUUUUCAACCCAAGAAGAUGCCUCCCUGGAUGUUAUGGGGUAUUAGUACCGAUUUCUCAGUGUUAUCCCCCUGUAAUGGGUAGGUUGCAUACGCGUUACGCACCCGUGCGCCGGUCGCCGACAUAG